UUUAAUGCAGCAGCAGUGUAAAGGAUCUUUUAAAAAUGAUCAAUCAUGAAACUGGGAGAAAGGGAAGCGCUCUCGUUUCCUACUCUCUUCGAAGAGCUCUUGUAUCAUCCUGUGAUCCUAUUACCAAAAUUUUAUUUUUGUGACGUCACGAGAAAUUUAAAAUACCGGAUUUAAAAUACCGGAACAUAUGGAUUCCUAUUGGAAAUCAGGAAUAAUAAUAAUAAUAAUAUUUUUCCAAGCUAUUUACUAUUGUUUAUUGAUGUUAAUAUUCUCCUAUAAUAAAAUAUUUUUAUAGGACGUUUGUUUAAACAAUUGCACAAAAAUUAAAAGACUGCUAUAAUAUAAUCAUAAUUUUUAUUUAUUUCGAAUAUUAUAUGCGCAUACAUAUGCUACGAACAUUUAAACGACAAUAAACACUUUUAUCGAUUA
rnacentral:lncRNA from 1 species